CCUACGUGGGCAGCAGUGGGGAAUAUUGGACAAUGGGCGAAAGCCUGAUCCAGCCAUGCCGCGUGUGUGAAGAAGGCCUUCGGGUUGUAAAGCACUUUCAGUGGGGAAGAAAGCCUUGGGGCUAAUACCCUCGAGGAAGGACAUCACCCACAGAAGAAGCACCGGCUAACUCCGUGCCAGCAGCCGCGGUAAUACGGAGGGUGCGAGCGUUAAUCGGAAUUACUGGGCGUAAAGCGCGCGUAGGCGGUCUGAUAAGCCGGUUGUGAAAGCCCCGGGCUCAACCUGGGAACGGCAUCCGGAACUGUCAGGCUAGAGUGCAGGAGAGGAAGGUAGAAUUCCCGGUGUAGCGGUGAAAUGCGUAGAGAUCGGGAGGAAUACCAGUGGCGAAGGCGGCCUUCUGGACUGACACUGACGCUGAGGUGCGAAAGCGUGGGUAGCAAACAGGAUUAGAUACCCGAGUAGUC
rnacentral:rRNA from 1 species